ensembl:lncRNA
CUCGGGGUGCUCACUCUCUUUCUCUUCCUCCACAGGCAACGGCUGGGACACAAAGGCACAGUUAAUUCGGCUUGGUUUUGCUCUCACCUCUUCGCUGAUUGCAGCUCACAGUAAGUACUGGUUCACACAGUUCGUUCCUUGGGUGCUCACUCGCUUUCUCUUUCUCCACAGGCAGCGGCGUAAGUACAGGUUUCCUCUGUUUCUCCUUGUGUUACUCACUCUCUCUUUCCUUUUCUCUCCACAGGUAUCAACUUGGGCACAAUAGCACAGUUAGUUUGCUUUGAAUGGCUCUCACCUCUGGGCUGGACACAGCGUACUGUAAGUACAGGGUUCGCUCUAUUCCUCCUCGUGUUAUUCACUCUCUCUUUCCUUUCCUCUCCACAGGUAUCAACUUGGACGCAAAGCACAGUUACUCUGCUUUGGAUGGCUUUCACCUCUGGGCUGGACACAGCGUACUGUGCUAUCUCCGGAGAUCUGAAGCACGCUCACAACAUAUACUAUACUGAACUAGGCUAGGACCAGCAGUCUCC